rnacentral:rRNA from 1 species
GAUGAACGCUAGCGACAGGCCUAACACAUGCAAGUCGAGGGGCAGCACAUGAGUAGCAAUACGAUGGUGGCGACCGGCGCACGGGUGAGUAACACGUAUGCAACCUGCCUUCUACUAUGGGAUAACCCGUUGAAAGACGGACUAAUACCGUAUAAUACAGGGGCUCCGCAUGGAGAUAUUUGUUAAAGAUUUAUUGGUAGAAGAUGGGCAUGCGUAUGAUUAGAUAGUUGGUGAGGUAACGGCUCACCAAGUCAACGAUCAUUAGGGGUUCUGAGAGGAAGGUCCCCCACACUGGUACAGAGACACGGACCAGACUCCUACGGGAGGCAGCAGUGAGGAAUAUUGGUCAAUGGACGAGAGUCUGAACCAGCCAAGUCGCGUGAAGGAAGACGGUUCUAUGAAUUGUAAACUUCUUUUGUGCGGGAAUAAAGUGGGUUACGUGUAACCUUUUGUAUGUACUGUACGAAUAAGGAUCGGCUAACUCCGUGCCAGCCGCCGCGGUAAUAC